rnacentral:lncRNA from 1 species
AGGGGAUGAAGGAACGGCGCCGUUUGAGACACUGAUGGAGAAGGCUGCCUCUGCGUCUUCUACUUCAACAGCGACUGCUCUUACUCCGAGACCGUGUGAGGAGAAGAAGGAGCGGUAGGUGACGUGGUCGAAAGAUGGGAUGGAGGCUGUGGUGGUCGGUGGAUUCUCGCCGGCGGAGAGAGAUGGAGAGUAGGGAGCGGUGAAGAGGAAUCGGAGGUCGCCGGAGGUGAGGAGGUAGGAGGCGUGAACCAUGUUUCCGGUGGAGAGAUCGGAUUUGGCGGAGAAUCUCAUGCCGAGGCCCCAUGAGAAGCGGCGCGCGACGUUGGUGGCGUCGCCGCACCAGAACUCGAUGUGGUGGAAGCGCUUGACUUUGAACUUGUCGGACUUUGGAUUCUUCCUCACGAACUUGGAGAAUCCGACGAGCUUAAACCCCGGGGACGCAGAGGUAGCAGCUGCUUCGUCGUGAUGCUGGUUCUCUGAAACGGCUGCGUUUUCGUGCCCCAUGGAUGUUUUACACCUUAGACUCUGCUUACGGAACUGUGCGAGUGGUUCGUCGAGCUAUGGACACGGACACAUAUAAAGGGAUUUUGUUUUGUUUUAAUAUGAGUUUAUUCAGACGUUAUCUCUGGUCUUAAAACUCACAGAUGUUGACUAUUGUUGGACGUGGAAGAUACACGUGUACGGUCGUGAUUUUCAUUAGAAACGAAGCUUUACGUGAUGGAUCUCUCUCUAAUUUGCUUGACCUUUGCUGAUUGGUUCGUUCUUUCUCCUUGUCUAUCUAUGGUCACCAAGUUCUGACGUGUAAGACGUAUCAACCAUUUUCACACGAUGAUGGAACGUUAUCCGAACCACAUGGAUGAGUAUUGGUGAUGAGGCAGAUUCAGCGAUUUGAUCAACUACGUAAAGAAACAGAGAUCAUGUUACGUAUUACAUAAGAAAAUUUCUCAAAUCACCUUGUUGGCUUCUAGAGUUUCCUACAUUUUCAGAGUUAUGCAAGGUUGCAACUUACUCUAGAUCAUGAAAUAAACCUACAAAUCACUAGAAAGAGUCUUAAGGAACAUGUUACAACAUAAGUUACAAGUUUUCCACAAUAAGCUUAUUAAAUAAGGUCACGAACUCUCAUGCCAUGUUUGGCUCCUCGUCUUGAGGGUUCUCGAGAGCUGUUAUAUGCUUCUUAAACAAAGUCGCAGCUUCUUCCCUCUGCUCAAGCUGUCCCACCUGGUCGUAUACCAUCGCCAUUAAAUAUAAAGCUUCAGCUGCCAAUUCAUGGUACUGCACAACAAACAUAAUGAUUAGCAAGUGAAACAGAUGGUAAACCACGAUACUAGAAUCCAAAAGAAAUUAUGUAUCGAUGAGCUAAACCGAAGAUAGUUCUAGUUUAUCUUAAACCAAUAGCACCAUAGCAUUUUUUAUGCAAUAUAGCGAUAGAACAGAGUUCGAGCUUGUUUCCGAAACAAAAGAUACAUAGCAUUCUUAUUGGCAUAAGUUACCUCCAAAGCUUGAAGCUCAUCUGAAGCUUGCCUUAGAGAAUUCAGGACUGUGUCAGAAUCUGUGGAAACUGGCGGAAUACAUUCACAGCCAAUUCAUACAAAAAUUAUGAUCAUGCAACCAAGAGCAUGAACUAUAGCCAAAGCAGUACAAAGACAACAAAAGGUACCUGAAAAGCUUGGAUCAGACAGAUAGCAGUUUGCUUCAAAGAUGUAUGCUCUAGCACGCAACUCCAGGCCUCCUUGGCCGAGAAUCAUAGGGAAAGCCCCAUGCAAAAGGUCUAACGCCCGUUUGGCAUGAUUUGAUCCAAGACCAAGCCAAAGCUCGGCCAGCGUGAGAGUAGCUGAUGCUUUGAGAAGAUCCAAAUUGAAUGACUGGCAAAAAGAGAUGCUUGCCAGCGCAUACGGAAGACCCAGGACUGCAUUUCCUGACUUCUGAGAACCAGAGAAAAGGGAAUUGGAAGGUAAAGGCGGGUCAGAAAACUUAUACAGAAUUGAAAAUAACGAUAAGAAAUGACUUAGCAGCAGAGACACAGAACAUUCAGAAGAAGUGCAUGCAUGGGAGGAAAACAAAACCUAGAGAAAUGUUACUACUGCAAGGUCGUAAGGUGACAAAUAUUCAAUGAAAUAUAAGAUUCCAAUCAGUGCGCUUUCAAGUUACCAAGUUCUUGUGCCAUGACAUACCUUAUGGAUCUCUGCAAGCAGAAGAAGAACAGAGGCCUUUUCGAUUUGCAAAUUGAAUUUGUGGCACGUACAGAAGAGGGAGUGUGCCACAUUUGCUGCCUGUAAAGAACGUAGUAACAAAGCAAAAUGACGAUACAGUAACAAAGUAUAGCUCAUGGAAAACAAAACAGAUGGUCAGCAAGGAUUUUGAACAAACCUGGCUAUACUGUUUUGCUGCAAGCAACGUCCUAGCUUCACGAAGACUUGCUUCUACUUUCAGCUCCAUGUCUACGCCCAUGGUGGUUGAUGCCAAGCCUCCUAGCUCGUUGCACAUUCGUUGAGCUAGCUUUAGAUUCCCACUAAUGGAUUUAACAAAGUUAGAAUGGCUGAUUUAAGAGAAUAAAUUCAGUACAAAAGAGAGCUUUCUGUUCACAUUUUAUUUUCCCAACGAAUGUUGUACACAUUUAGUGAGGGGGGGGGGGGGGAGAGAAGCUCCGGUCUGAGGUUUCUCAGAAAAGGGAUGGGAUUGAGAAGUUGGAGAAGGAGGUGACUGGUUUUAUAAGUGUAAAGGAGGAGAACGAGAAGAGAAUGAAGGAGUUGGAGACCAAGUUUGGUAUCUGGAGGUUAAAGAGUUGGAGGAGAGGAACACGAAGAUGAGAGAUAAUAUUGAUAACAAGGAGAAGGAAGUGAGUGAGUUGAAGUAGAAGUAGAAGAUCAAUGGUUUGGAAUCGAACGUUGCAGAAGGGAAAACAGAUAAGAAGGUUGUGGAGGAUUCAUUGAGAGAGUCAGAGAAUAAAAUGGUGGCGAUGGAAUCAGAGACUGUGGAGUUAUAGAGACAGAUUGAUUAGUCUGAGAAGAUAAUCAUUGGAUCGAAGAACCACUUAAUGGCAUUGUGCUUAAUUCACGGUCCCCUACUAGUAUGACUACUGGUUCUGGUGGAGCUAUGGCGGCUGUUGCGGUUGCAGUGGCCGGAGCAGCCGUCGUCUGCUACAUUUACCACUCCAAGAGGGUUCGAUUCAACUUAGAAUCUUUUAACUCCUCUGUGUGUUUGGUCCAUUUCACAGUUUUGUAGUCUUCUUUAUUGGGUGUUUGCUUACACAUUUUUCAUUAGUUUAUACAUUGUUACUGAACCUAAAAAUGGGAAGACAUUUCUGUAAUCAUCGUUUACUAUUUUAUAGUAUAACAUAAAACAGUUUUACAUAUCAAUUACAACCCUUUUAGUUUAGUUCUUCUUCUUACUCACCCCACAAGCUGCUUGGCUUCAAGAGUCUUCUCAUACUCUUCAAUAGACUUAAAGAGCUCAGAGAAGUUACCUUUACCAAACCCACCACAUCCUCCGCUCUGGUAAACCUUCCCUUCCUCAUCCUUCUUCAUGCAUCCCACUCUCUGUAUUAUCUCUAUAAAUAUCGUCGGCCUAUCACCACAACCAUAAAGACAUUCUCAGCAUCUAAUCAACACAAAAGAGACAAGUCUCCUCUUACCUGUCACCAAGUGGUUUUGUAAAGAUCUGAAGCAACGUCCCCUGAUCAUCUCUAUCCACAAGAAUCCCCAACUCCUCACACUCCCGAAUCGGCUCAUCACUCAGCACAUCUCCAAUCCGGUUCUUGAGAUUCUUGUAAUAAGUAGGCGGAGGAGAAGGCAUGAAGUCAAACCCUCCAACGCCGCUCCUCUUCCUCAUCUCCCUCAGAGUCUUGAAUAUAUCUUCGCUCAUCAGCGCCAGAUGCUGCACCCCCGCGCCUUCGUUGUGCUCCAGAUACGUCUGUAUCUGACUCUUCCUCUUCGUCCCGUGAACCGGCUCGUUGACCGGCAGAAGAACCGUCUCGUCGUUGUUAGCCAGAACCGCCGAGUUCAAACCGCUCUCGGCUGUUCCCACGUCGUCCGCUGUGAACUCCGCGAACUGGUGGAAGCCGGUGAACCGUGAGAGGUACGUUAGCGCUGGACCGAGCUCGGGGACGUUCCCAACCGCGUGGUCGAGGCGGCGUAUACCGUAGUCUAGUGGAAACGACGACGUAUCUUCCACAGUUUCAAAUCUCGGAAGGAAAACGGAUGUAACGGCUUUAUAACUAACGUAACGGAGCACGACGUCGCCGUAUAGUUUAACCUCAGCGAUCGUAACGGCGUCGUUUAGGGCGAUAGGAGGGGAUGAAGGAACGGCGCCGUUUGAGACGCUAACGAAGAAGGCUGACUCUGCGUCUUCUACUUCAACAGCGACAGCUCUUACGCCUAGUCCGUGUGAAGAGAAGAAGGAGCGGUAGGUGACGUCGUCGAAAGAUGGGAUGGAGGCUGUGGUGUUCGGUGGAAUCUCGCCGGCGGAGAUAGAUGGAGAGUAGGGAGCGGUGAAGAGGAAUCGGAGGUCGCCGGAGGUGAGGAGGUAGGAGGCGUGAACCAUGUUUCCGGUGGAGAGAUCGGAUUUGGCGGAGAAUCUCAUGCCGAGGCCCCAUGAGAAGCGGCGCGCGACGUUGGUGGCGUCGCCGCACCAGAACUCGAUGUGGUGGAAGCGCUUGACUUUGAAC